rnacentral:piRNA from 1 species
UUAGGGAAGAAAGCUUUGAACGAAAA